GCCAAAGAAAGUAUAGAUCUUUAGCCUUUUCCUUCCUCCAAGAAGUCAUCAAUAAAAGCUUGGUCUGGGAUUUGGCACCAGGAGUGUCAGUAAGUAAAUAAUAGGUGUCACUUGGUCAGAGGGGUCAAAUCCCGCCCCUCUUGUGUGCAUCUUCUUGGGAAGGGAGAAGGGGUCUGCUUCCUCUGUGUGUUUCCCUUUUGCGGGGGGAGGGGGGACUGUUUCUUGUCUUGGGGGUGAUUUUUUGGGUUUGUGUGUUGGGGCGAGGGGAUCCUGUGGUCUGUUCUUUGGCGGGAGGUUCUGUCGGUUUGUCCUGAGGUGUGGGAGUAAGUUCUGUGUGUUUAUCCUCGUGGAGGAGACUGUUUUAUCCUCGGAUAAUCUGUGUGUCUGACUCGGGGAGGGGGGAUUCUUGAGUCUGUUUCUUGGCGAAGGGGUCUGUGUGUGUUACUUUGGGGAGUUUGCAGGUCUGUCUCCUGGUGGGGAGGACGGUCUGUGCGUCUGCCCCCUGGGGAAGGAGUCUGUCUGUCUGUCUUAUGGGGCUGAACGGGGAGUGCGGCGAAGAGAGGAUUUCCUCCCUUCAACAGCCGCUCUCCGCCAGCCCCGGGCAGCGCCCCCACCUGCGCGCCCGGCUCAGCCGCGGGCCCCGCCCGCCCGCCGCUGCCCGGAGCGGGUUCCGGCGCCCUGGAGACCAGCGCCCCUGGCGGCGGCUGCACGCUCUGCGGCUCCCCCGGCUGCGUCGGGGACUUCAGUUGCAGCGGCCCCCGCGGAUGCUGAACCCUCCUGCCCCGCUCCGGAGAAGUCAAGGAACCCUCGCUUCUGCCCCAGAGUCUUGGCCCUGUGUCUCAGACGCCCCCUCCCACGGAGCUGGCCCUCGCCUCGCCUCUCCCUCUUGUCCCCAACCCCGGAGGGUGAGGUCUCGGAAUGUAGUUUACUGGACAGUGACCGACUCGUCCCCAGUGCGGAGAGGGCCUGGACGCUGUAAUCCUCAGGAGGCCCGGUUCGUGGCUUCCCUGCACCAGCACUCUGCCCCUCUGAACUGCCCCACCCUCUUUUCCUGGGACUCCUCCUUUACAAUAAAAAGUUCUGCAGCGAACUGAGCCGCCAGCCUGUUUGUACCUGAUUCCUCAGGCUAUUCCAAAAGCAAGGACGAAGCUGGCCGGAUGUGGGGUGGAGGACACUACCAAGAAGCAACCCUCUUCUUGUGGUCAGGUUUUUCCAGCUCCUGCUGUGCUGAUCAUGUCAAAGAAGGAACUUUGUGGGAAGUGCAGAAGGAAAUACCACCUACGAGUUGUUGGCAGGAUUUCUGGUGCGCAUUCUGCAGCCCGCAUCACCGAGGACUGGCUGCCUGCAUUUUCCCUUUCCAAAUCCCCAGCCUGAGGGCAGGCCAGGAGAUCCCAAGGGCUGUGGGGUUUGAGUCUGUUGCUGGGCCAGGGCCACGUGGGCCACCAGCAAUGUUUGUGGUUUGGGGACAGAUUCUCUGAGUAGCUCCCCUGACAAUGGGCCACAUUCCAGGCUGGGGUGGGAGAGAAUAUGGUCAUUUAUGGAGAGUCAAUCACCAGCCCAUUUACAAACUUUGUGAGUCAGGGUGACUUCUGAAGGGACAGUUGUCACCAGUUCGUCAUGGCUUCUCAGCAGAAGGCGGACCAGGAGAGGUCAGCCCGCUGUGGGCUCCCCGUGCCUGCCUCACACUUAAUACACUUAAACAUGACGGAUGCAACUUCGCGUCUGUCUCUGAGCCCCUCGAGGGCAGUGAAUGUCAUCCAUCCUUCUCCAGGCCUGCAAUGCAGAGGUGAACGGGUCCAGGCUCUGAGGUCUGUUGGCCUGUGCUUGGAUGUACUGGGCCCUGUUCUUCCACCAUUAACAUGUCUCAGCUUGUGGAAACCCCUUGGGAGACUCUUGAUGAGUCUAAAUGCAAUUCUUCUGAUACGAUUCCAGGUGCAGUGUAUCAACCAGACCCGCCUGGAGUGAGGAAGGAAGGCCCGAUUCUGUUUCUGAUCCUGCUGUUACCUUGGCCCAACUCUUCCCCUGUUUCUGGGCCUCGGUCCAGCACUCCCCCAGUUCUAACUGGUGAAGAUUCAUUUAUCUCUUUUACUUUUCCUCCCUACUUAACCUCUCUGCACUGCAGUUGAUCUGUAAAAUAAGAAUAGGACCUAUCACAGGGCUGUUUGAGAAUUACAUAUGUUGCUGUAUGUAAAGUGCUUAAACAUAAUGAGAGCUAUAUAAAACUAAUUAAUGUUUCACUUACUGGAGUUCUUGGGAAGGGUUUUCAGCACCUUUAAAGAAGGUUCUACAAAGUUCAAGGCCAACUGGCCUCCCUCUGCCCUCACUGGAGCUAAAGUGACAGUAGGGCAGGAGGAGUGGGUAGGUGAGUCCGGGGUUAGAUCCCGGGCCCCGAGCCAGAGGGCACCUCCCUGUGUGACACCCAGCAGCACCUUCCCGUCACCACUCCCAUCUUAGCCCAGUUCUCCAGCCGUGACCCCAUCUCCCCAGCAUGAGUCCACUCGUGCACCCACGUCGCACUCAUGUCCACAAGUACCCACAAAACUCCUCUCUCCAGCACAUCUGCACAGGCAUACACACAUUCACAAACAUAAUCACAUGUACAGAAACCCUCAG